rnacentral:lncRNA from 1 species
GGGAUUAAAAGCUGGCCACUUGAGCCAGCAGCAGCAACAUGCUCUGGUAACCUUCCAUGGUGUGGAAGCUUUGUUCUUUUGCUCUUCACAGUAAGUCUUGCUGCUGCUCACUCUUUGGGUCCUCACUACCUCUAUGACCUGUAACACUCACUGCAAAGUUCUGCUGCUUCACUCCUGAAGUCAGUGAGACCACGAACCCACCAGAAGGAAGAAACUCUGAACACAUCUGAGCAUCUGAAGGAACAAACUCCGGACACACCAUCUUUAAGAACUGUAACACUCACCGUGUGGCUAUUUUCAUUCUUGAAGUCAGCGAGACCAAGAACCUACAGGAAGGAAUAAAUUCCGGACACAGAUUAAAUGUCAGCUGAAGGUUGAAUCGGGCAAAAACUGAAAGAAGACAACAGUUUGAAGGCUUCCCUUUCCAUUUCCAAACAUAAUACCAAAUGACUUAAAAUGAAUGAAGAUGCUUUAGAGCUCUGGGUGUCACGAUAAAACAUAAACUUACACAUUCACUUUGACCCACAUAUUGUCCUUUCUAAGAUGUUUCAAAAUGGGAAAAUCCUCUGUGUCAUUUUAUUUGAAAAAAAAAAUCAGGAAGCACCAUUGCAUGCAUGUGAGCCGAGCAGAUGUGCAUACAAACAUGCGUGUGUGUACAUGAAGCACAACCAGCAUUUGGAAUAUCCUCCCUCAGGCAAAGCAAGGACCUAGAGGCUGACUCCUGCGUAUUGUAUCACCCUGGCUACCUGGCCAACUGGCUUCAAAUUGGGCUUGACCACUGGGAGGUCCUGAGAGAAGACUGGAGGACAACAAGAGGCAGAGACUGUGGUAUUUCUUUCUUCCUACUGUGGGCCGGAUUGCUGGCACUGGCUGUGUCCUUCCAGGAACACAGCUCCCAAAGAGAGGCCCAUCUGCAUGGCCCCAGCUCUCACUGUUCUUUGCUAACACAACUUCCAUUCGUGCCUCUUUAGGCUUGGAAGUGGCAAAGCCUGUCCACUCUUGCUAGUCUCUGAGUGCCUCAUAUCCCUGAUUUUUCCCUUUUGCUCUAUCCACAACUCAGGAAGUAAUUUCUUCAUUAGAGUCCCCUGUACCACAUGGACUGGAUUCAACUUUCUGCUAUUUUCAGUAUUAAAUUAGUUAAUAUUUGUAGAAUGCUUACAAUAGUGCCUGACACAUAAUAAGCAUGCUUUAUGUUUGUUAAAUCAAUAAAAAUAAACACAUAUAAUAUAACACUGAGUCAUGUGUUCAGAGGAAAGGGGUGCUAUGUUUGUCCAGGCGGAAUCAAGAGCUCACCCCUGGUGUAAGAGUUUGUGGAGUCAAGGGGUUAAUACGCAGGAGAAAGAAAACCCCCAAGGUGACCAAAACAAUAGCAGCAACAACAAAACAGAGUUGUAUGCCAUACCCUAGUUCCUAAGGUUGCUAUUUUGGCCUCAAGGAUUCUUUUUUUUUAAUAUUGGUUAAACAUGCAUUUCAUUUUUCCAAAGUAGAAUUUGAAACUCUACUAACUCUACUAACUUUAGUUGCUCUUCCUAACUAAAGAGAGCAAAGACUAAGCAAGUAUGAGUAAAACAAAAGGAAACUUUAUUAACACAUCCUGGCUACCUUUAGGCCAGUAGAGAGGAAGAGGAGGAGGAUGUACAUGCCUAGAAAAGAAUAGGAAGUCACAGCCCUUGCCACUGCAGCCUGGGUGUGUGACACUGCAGUAGGCUAUGUCAAGGAAGGCUGUAGUCCCCAAGGAACUAGAUCUGCCUUGUCUUAUGGGAGAAAUGCAGAGCAGGAAUUCAGUAGUCUGGCAGGUCAAGCAGCAAAGGCCCAGCAAAGAAUGUGAGUCCUGUCAUCCAAGACCAUCUUAG